UUGCAUUCAUAAGGUUUCACUGUAAAAAAAGUUAUUCUAUAUAUGUUUUUAUAUUUUCGUCAUUAAAAUGCAUGUAAAUUCGUUUUCUAAAUUUAUUCAUAUAUCUAAUCACCGCUACACAAGAUCAAUCAUUUCUGCUUCUAAGAGUUGCAUCUGACAUACAGUCCAUUUCUGAGUUCCCAACUACCAGUUACACGCGCUAAACUUCUGAGACCCAAGCCAACCGCGCGUCAUGAUGCUAAACAAAAUUAUCCAUUUAGCGGGCAACAACCUGCGAAGGCUUCCUUUGAAGAUGCAUUGACCUUUGCAUUUCGGCUCUGAGCAAUCCGUCCAAACUACGGAGAGAAACUUGACUGGGGGGAAUUGAAUAGACUGACAGAAAGAGAUGUCGCGAUGUCACCUAAAUUGCGUGUGCACAAUUGCGAGCAGUUAAUGAUCGGGAAUCUACCUUCGGGCAGAUUCGCGACCUUCAGAGAUGAUGACCCUGAAAUCGCGACUAUCUGAGGCUUCCUUCAAUUUCAAUCAGCCACUUCGAUUCGAUCCGUGGAAGAGGCAAAAGUGGUCGGAAAUUUUGUGCCGCGUCGUGGUGUAAUUUGGAAGAUAGAAUUCGACAUAGCGAAAUUGUAGUCGAUUAAGUGGCGGCAAAGUGCGUGAAUUGAGUGCGUUUAAGGUUCGUGGCAGCCGGGCAUUUGCCGUUACACCACCAUCCCACUAGAGACCGCUUUUGACCCCAUCGAUCGGCAUCGAAGGUCCCGGGGCACACGUGGCCGGAAGAGGGC